rnacentral:rRNA from 1 species
GAUGAACGCUGGCGGCGUGCUUAACACAUGCAAGUCGAACGAGAUUUAAUCGAUUUCUUCGGAUUGACUUUAAGUCGAGUGGCGGACGGGUGAGUAACGCGUGGGGAACCUGCCCCAUACCGGGGGAUAACAGUUGGAAACGGCUGCUAAUACCGCAUAUGCGCACGAAGAGGCAUCUCUUUGUGUGGAAAACUCCGGUGGUAUGGGAUGGACCCGCGUUGGAUUAGCCAGUUGGCAGGGUAACGGCCUACCAAAGCGACGAUCCAUAGCCGGCCUGAGAGGGCGAUCGGCCACAUUGGGACUGAGACACGGCCCAG